rnacentral:rRNA from 1 species
UACGGGGGGAGCAAGCGUUGUUCGGAUUCACUGGGCGUAAAGGGUGCGUAGGCGGUCGGGUAAGUCUGAUGUGAAAUCUCUGGGCUUAACCCAGAAAUGGCAUUGGAUACUAUCUGGCUAGAGGAAUGGAGGGGAGACUGGAAUACUUGGUGUAGCAGUGAAAUGCGUAGAUAUCAAGUGGAACACCAGUGGCGAAGGCGAGUCUCUGGACAUUUCCUGACGCUGAGGCACGAAAGCUAGGGGAGCAAACAGG